ACACACAAUUAAGAUCCUGUUUGGUGAAAAAGAAUUUUUACCCAGCACAUAUAUUAGCAAGUUCAUUGGUCAGAAUGUGUGCAACCAUGUGGUAACUGAUGUGUGUAGCAAAUAAACUAUAUUGUUCUUUGGAAAUGAUCCCCCAAAUUUAAAAAAGAGUCAUAUUGACGUAUACUUAGCACAGAAUCCAACAGGAACGGCAGUUCAAAAUGUGCUAGACUAUCGUCAAGAAUG
rnacentral:lncRNA from 1 species